AGUGGGGAAUAUUGGGCAAGGGGCGAAAGCCUGACCCAGCAACGCCGCGUGAGGGAAGAAGGUUUUCGGAUUGUAAACCUCUGUCCUCAGCGAAGAGCAAGAGACGGUAACUGAGGAGGAAGCCCCGGCUAACUACGUGCCAGCAGCCGCGGUAAUACGUAGGGGGCGAGCGUUGUCCGGAAUGAUUGGGCGUAAAGGGCGCGUAGGCGGCCUGUUAAGUCUGGAGUGAAAGUCCUGCCUUCAAGGUGGGAAUUGCUUUGGAUACUGGCGGGCUUGAGUGCAGGAGAGGUUAUCGGAAUUCCCGGUGUAGCGGUGAAAUGCGUAGAGAUCGGGAGGAACACCAGUGGCGAAGGCGGGUAACUGGACUGCAACUGACGCUGAGGCGCGAAAGUGUGGGGAGCAAACAGGAUUAGAUACCCUGGUAGUCCACACGGUAAACGAUGAAUGCUAGGUGUAGGGGGUAUCGACCCCUUCUGUGCCGGAGUAAACACAAUAAGCAUUCCGC
rnacentral:rRNA from 1 species